GCCCGGGUGGCUCAGUCGGUUGAGCGUCUGACUUUGGCUCAGGUCAUGAUCUCACAGCUCUGUGGGUUCGAGCCCCACAUCGGGCU
rnacentral:tRNA from 1 species